rfam:Stegodyphus mimosarum contig19054, whole genome shotgun sequence.
GCCUUCGUGGUGUAGUGGUCAGCACGCUCGGCGUGUAUUCGAGAGGUCCGUGGCUCGAAUCCCGGUGAGGGCA